rnacentral:rRNA from 1 species
GACGAACGCUGGCGGCGUGCUUAACACAUGCAAGUCGAACGGAAAGGCCCUGCUUUUGUGGGGUGCUCGAGUGGCGAACGGGUGAGUAACACGUGAGUAACCUGCCCUUGACUUUGGGAUAAUUUCGGAAAACUGGGGCAAAUACCGGAUAGAACCUCCGCCGGAAGGUUGGGGGUGGGAAAUUUCGGCGGUUGGGGAUGGACUCCCGGCCUUUUAGCUUGUUGGUGGGGGAGUGGCUUACCAAGGCUUUGACGGGUAGCCGGCCUGAGAGGGUGACCGGCCACAUUGGGACUGAGAUACGGCCCAGACUCCUACGGGAGGCAGCAGUGGGGAAUAUUGCACAAUGGGCGGAAGCCUGAUGCAGCAACGCCGCGUGCGGGAUGACGGCCUUCGGGUUGUAAACCGCUUUCGCCUGUGACGAAGCGUGAGUGACGGUAAUGGGUAAAGAAGCACCGGCUAACUACGUG